GCGCGGGGGGGGGUGGUGGGUGGGCGCCGGUCCGAAGGGCGCAGGCUCCGGGCUGGCGCCGCGUGUGCGCGGACGGAGGCGUGGCCGCGGUGCCCUCGUGGCGCUCACGUGCGGGGCGCCCAGCGAACAGCUGGCUGGACACUUCUUCAAGGACCAGAUCAGCAAGCAGAGUCACCUUUUGGAGCCACCACCCAGGUCCGCCUUGAUGGGUCAGCACCACGGAGAGCAGCUCACCUCACACCCAAGCCUGGAGCACUGUCACUGUGGCGUCUACACCUUUGGUGACCGCAGAGGGAUGCAGAGCAGGCUUCUCUCCUUUGCUGGAACGCGGCAGCCUCCAGAGCCGAGGUACCUGCGGAGGCGGCUCGGGCCUCUCCUUCUCCGAGCGUCCAGAUGCACCAGGAACCACAAACUCCCUCAGCAGCCACACCACCUUGCAUUCCCUCCAGCAACACACAAGUCACUGGCACCUGCUGACCGCGACGUGAGAAGAACCCGCCUGAGCAUGAGGCCAACACAGAGCAGAGAGAGAAUUUCCCUAUGGCAAUUUGUUGAGCAGCUAGAUCAAGUCCUACCUGAAGCUGUUUCUACCAGUUGACUUUUCAGUUAUGCCAAGUUUUGCAUUUCUGUUUUCCAUCAUGAGUGAGUUUGAGUUUGGCUUCUGUCCAUCACAAAUGAAAAAGCCCUCUGUGACACACCA